rnacentral:rRNA from 1 species
UACAGAGGGUGCGAGCGUUGUUCGGAAUUACUGGGCGUAAAGCGCGUGUAGGCGGUUCGGUAAGUCAGGUGUGAAAGCCCUGGGCUCAACCUGGGAAUUGCAUUGGAUACUGGCAGGCUAGAGUGCGGUAGAGGAUGGCGGAAUUCCCGGUGUAGCAGUGAAAUGCGUAGAGAUCGGGAGGAACAUCUGUGGCGAAGGCGGCCAUCUGGACCAGCACUGACACUGAGGCACGAAAGCGUGGGGAGCAAACAGG